rnacentral:rRNA from 1 species
GACGAACGCUGGCGGCGUGGAUUAGGCAUGCAAGUCGAACGGUAGGAUACCUUCGGGUAGUCUGAGAGUGGCGAACGGGUGAGUAACACGUAGGUGAUCUACCCUCAAGAUUGGGACAACCCAGGGAAACUUGGGCUAAUACCGGAUGAAAGCAGCAGUGAUGUUGUUUGAAAGGUGGCGUAAGCUGCCGUUUGGGGAUGAGCCUGCGCUCUAUUAGUUAGUUGGCGGGGUAAAGGCCCACCAAGGCGAUGAUAGAUAGGCGGCCUUAACGGGUGGUCGCCCACACUGGGAUUGAGAUACGGCCCAGACUCCUACGGGAGGCAGCAGUCGAGAAUAGUCUACAAUGGCCGAAAGGCUGAUAGUGCGACGCCGCGUGAACGAAGAAGCCCUUCGGGGUGUAAAGUUCUUUUAUAUGUGAGCAGUGCUUUCUAUGUGAACAGCAUGGGGAGAGAGAUAUUAGCAUAUGAAUAAGCAACGGCUAACUCCGUG